GAUGAACGCUGGCGGCGUGCCUAAUACAUGCAAGUCGAGCGAACGGACGAGAAGCUUGCUUCUCUGAUGUUAGCGGCGGACGGGUGAGUAACACGUGGAUAACCUACCUAUAAGACUGGGAUAACUUCGAGAAACCGGAGCUAAUACCGGAUAAUAUUUUGAACCGCAUGGUUCAAAAGUGAAAGACGGUCUUGCUGUCACUUAUAGAUGGAUCCGCGCUGCAUUAGCUAGUUGGUAAGGUAACGGCUUACCAAGGCAACGAUGCAUAGCCGACCUGAGAGGGUGAUCGGCCACACUGGAACUGAGACACGGUCCAGACUCCUACGGGAGGCAGCAGUGGGGAAUCUUCCGCAAUGGGCGAAAGCCUGACGGAGCAACGCCGCGUGAGUGAUGAAGGUCUUCGGAUCGUAAAACUCUGUUAUUAGGGAAGAACAUAUGUGUAAGUAACUGUGCACAUCUUGACGGUACCUAAUCAGAAAGCCACGGCUAACUACGUG
rnacentral:rRNA from 1 species